rnacentral:rRNA from 1 species
GAUGAACGCUGGCGGCGUGCCUAAUACAUGCAAGUCGAGCGAACAGACGAGGAGCUUGCUCCUCUGACGUUAGCGGCGGACGGGUGAGUAACACGUGGAUAACCUACCUAUAAGACUGGGAUAACUUCGUGAAACCGGAGCUAAUACCGGAUAAUAUAUUGAACCGCAUGGUUCAAUAGUGAAAGACGGUUUUGCUGUCACUUAUAGAUGGAUCCGCGCCGCAUUAGCUAGUUGGUAAGGUAACGGCUUACCAAGGCGACGAUGCGUAGCCGACCUGAGAGGGUGAACGGCCACACUGGAACUGAGACACGGUCCAGACUCCUACGGGAGGCAGCAGUAGGGAAUCUUCCGCAAUGGGCGAAAGCCUGACGGAGCAACGCCGCGUGAGUGAUGAAGGUCUUCGGAUCGUAAAACUCUGUUAUUAGGGAAGAACAAAUGUGUAAGUAACUAUGCACGUCUUGACGGUACCUAAUCAGAAAGCCACGGCUAACUACGUG